rnacentral:rRNA from 1 species
GGUUGUAGUUACACGUGGGCAAUUAUGCCCUUCACUCUGGGACAAGCCCUGGAAACGGGUCUAAUACCGGAUAUCAUCCUUCAGGCAUCCUUUAGGGUCGAAAGCUCCGGCGGUGAAGGAUGAGCCCUCGGCCUAUCAGCUUUGUUGGUGAGCUAAUGGCUCACCAAGGCGACAGACGGGUAACCGGCCUGAGAGGGCGACCGGCCACACUGGGACUGAGACACGGCCCAGACUCCUACGGGAGGCAACAGUGGGGAACUAUUGCACAAUGGGCGAAAGCCUGAGUGCAAACCAGACGCCGCGUGAGGGAUGACCGGCCUUCGGGUUGUAAACCUCUUUCAGGCAGGGAAGAAGCGAAAGUGACGGUACCUGCAGUAAGAAGCGCCGGCUAAUCUACGAUAGUCCAGCAGCCGCUGGUAAUACUGUAGGGCGCACAGCGUUGUCCGGAAUUAUUCGGGCGUAAAGAGCUCGUAGCGCGGCUUGUCACGUCGCGAGUGUGAAGAUGCCCGGGGCUUAAACCCCGGGUCUGCAUUCGAUACGGGCUAAGCUAGAGUGUGGUAGAGGGAGAUCGGAAUUCCCUGGUAGUAGCGGUGAAAUGCGCAGAUUAUCAGGAGGAACACCAGGUGGCUGAAGGCGGCACUCCUCUGGGCCAAUACUGACGGCUGAUGGAUGCUGAAAGCUGUGGGCAGCUGAACAGGAUUAGAUACCCUGGUAGUCCACGCCGUAAACGGUCGGGAAACUAGCGAGUUGGCCGACAUUACCACGUCGUCGGUGCCGUCAGCUUAACUGCAUGUAACGUUCCCCGACCUGGUGGAGUAACGCGCCGGCAUAGGCUAAAACGUCAAAGGAAUAGACGGGGGCCCGGCACUAAGACAGGCGGAGCAUAGUGGCUUAAUUCGACGCAACGCGAAGAACCUUACCAAGGCUCUGACAUACACCGGAAACGUCUGGAGACAGGCGCCCCCAUUGUGGUCGGUGUACAGGUGGUGCAUGGCUGUCAGUCAGCUCGUGUCGUGAGAUGUUGGGUUAAGUCCCGCAACGAGCGCAACCCUUGUCCUGUGUUCGCCACGCAUGCCCUUCGGGGUGACUGGGGACUCACAGGAGAGCCGCCGGGGUCAAACUCGGAGGAAGGAUAGGGUGACGACUGUCAAGUCAGUCACUGCCCGCGUCUAUGUACUUGGUGACGUGCACACAGCUAGCUUACAAUGGCCGGUACAAUGAGACGUGCUGAAACCGUCUGAGGUAGGAGCGAAUCUCUAAAAAGCCAGGUCUCAGUUCGGACUUGGGGUCAUGCAACCUCAGACCCCAUGAAGUCAGGAGUUGCUAGUAAUCGCAGAUCAAGCAAUUGACUGUCGGUGAAUACGUUCCUCGGGCCUUGUACACACCAGCCCGUCACGAUCACGAAAGUUGGUAACACCACGAAGCCGGUGGCCCAACCCCCUUGUGGGAGGGAAGCUGUCGUCAGGUGGUAGAUCCUGACUGAGGAAC